rnacentral:lncRNA from 1 species
UGUCAUACAUACAUUACUUACCAUUGCCCUAGGGCCUCCUCUGGGCUCCUGGUCUUCGAGUCCCAUAACUGUGCCAGGCCGUAGAAUGGGAUCCUGGUCUUUCCUUACUCUGUGCCAGGCCAUAGAAUGGGGUCCUGGUCUUCCUGUCAUGGACUAAUUGGGUCAUCCAACAUUCACCCACAUCAACAACAAUCGAUGCAAUGCGGCAUAUUCGUGAAAUCUAAUGCAAUCAUCCUAUUGCAUAAUCAUGAUGCAUGAAACAUGAUAAAACAUUUANNN